ACAGCAACAAACGACAACCACUAAGGCUGAAAUAAUUUUUCUCGUAUCAAUUACUAGUAACAUCAAUAAAAAGUAUAUUUUUAUAUUUUUGAUAAAAAUUAUUUCACAUCAAUCAAAAUAAAUUGUUCAUUUACACAAAUUGUAGGCAACAAAAAAGUAUGUAGAGUUGUCAAUGGAAAAUGCAAACCGAAAUCUGCUGACUGUAGUGCCCUUGGAUCUGGAUUUGAAACUUAUUCACCAGGGAACUGCUGUGGCAAGAGAAAGUGUUGUGCACCAUGUGACGCUGCAUGUACACACGAAUAUGGCGGGAAUUGUGUACUUGAGAGCGAAUGCAAUAUGAUUAAAAACAGCAGUCUGUGUACAUCAUGUGAUGACUUAAUAUGCUGCAUACCGUCUCCUGUGUCGACAGCUCAGUGGAAUGGAAUUUACACACUGUCUGGUGAUAAUAUAGCAUUUGAAAUGACUCUUACGUUCGAUGGAGGUAAAAUAACAGGACAAGGUACCGAGGACAAUGGAGAUUUUACAAUCGAUGGUACAUUCAAUGCAAAUACUAUGCAUAUUGAGAUUACAAAGCGCUUCACAAACAUGGGUACGGAUGCUGGAUAUUUUGGAUCUUUGUCUGCUGAUGGACAGACAAUAUCAGGCAGAUGGCAAAACGGACAUGUAAACGGAGUUUUUGAACUAAAUCGUGCGCAAUGAUUUAAAAGACAA